rnacentral:rRNA from 1 species
GACGAACGCUGGCGGCGUGCCUAACACAUGCAAGUCGAACGGAAGUAAGACUCCGGUUUUACUUUAGUGGCGAACGGGUGAGUAACGCGUGAGAAACCUGCCUUUCAGUGGGGGACAACAGUUGGAAACGACUGCUAAUACCGCAUAAUGUAUCUGGACCGCAUGAUCCGGAUACCAAAGCUUUAUGUGCUGAAAGAUGGUCUCGCGUCUGAUUAGCUAGUUGGUGAGGUAACGGCUCACCAAGGCGACGAUCAGUAGCCGGUCUGAGAGGAUGAACGGCCACAUUGGGACUAAGAUACGGCCCAGACUCCUACGGGAGGCAGCAGUGGGGAAUAUUGGGCAAUGGGGGAAACCCUGACCCAGCAACGCCGCGUGAAGGAAGAAGGCCUUCGGGUUGUAAACUUCUUUUACCAGGGACGAAGAACGUGACGGUACCUGGAGAAAAAGCAACGGCUAACUACGUGCCAGCAGCCGCAGUAACAC